GACGUAGGGGGCAAGCGUUGUCCGGAAUCAUUGGGCGUAAAGAGCGUGUAGGCGGCUCGGUAAGUCCGCUGUGAAAGUCCAGGGCUCAACCCUGGAAUGCCGGUGGAAACUGUCGAGCUAGAGUCCGGAAGAGGCGAGUGGAAUUCCUGGUGUAGCGGUGAAAUGCGCAGAUAAUCAGGAGGAACACCGGUGGCGAAGGCGGGUCUCUGGGCCGAUACUGACGCUGGAGGAGCGAAAGCGUGGGGAGCGAACAGG
rnacentral:rRNA from 1 species